UACGUAGGCAGCAAGCGUUGUUCGGAAUUACUGGGCGUAAAGAGUGUGUAGGUGGUGUCGUAAGUUUGGUGUGAAAUCUCCCGGCUUAACUGGGAGGGUGCGCCGAAGACUGCGAUGCUGGAGUAUGGGAGAGGAAAGCGGAAUUCCUGGUGGUAGCGGUGAAAUGCGUAGAUAUCAGGAGGAACACCUGCGGUGUAGACGGCUUUCUGGACCAUUACUGACACUGAGACACGAAAGCGUGGGUAGCAAACAGG
rnacentral:rRNA from 1 species